rnacentral:rRNA from 1 species
GUGAACGCUGGCGGUAGGCCUAACACAUGCAAGUCGAACGGCAGCACAGUAAGAGCUUGCUCUUACGGGUGGCGAGUGGCGGACGGGUGAGGAAUACAUCGGAAUCUACUUUUUCGUGGGGGAUAACGUAGGGAAACUUACGCUAAUACCGCAUACGACCUACGGGUGAAAGCAGGGGAUCUUCGGACCUUGCGCGAUUGAAUGAGCCGAUGUCGGAUUAGCUAGUUGGCGGGGUAAAGGCCCACCAAGGCGACGAUGCGUAGCUGGUCUGAGAGGAUGAUCAGCCACACUGGAACUGAGACACGGUCCAGACUCCUACGGGAGGCAGCAGUGGGGAAUAUUGGACAAUGGGCGCAAGCCUGAUCCAGCCAUACCGCGUGGGUGAAGAAGGCCUUCGGGUUGUAAAGCCCUUUUGUUGGGAAAGAAAAGCAGCAGGUUAAUACCCCGCUGUUCUGACGGUACCCAAAGAAUAAGCACCGGCUAACUUCGUG